rnacentral:pre_miRNA from 1 species
UUUUCAGUAUAAAUAUAUUCCAAGCAAUAUUUGGGAUAUACUUAUGCUAAAU